rnacentral:rRNA from 1 species
ACUGAAUAGAUACCCGGGUAGUCUACGCCGUAAACGAUGCGCACUAGGUUCGAGAGCCUCUGACGGUGCUCGAGCCGAAAAACAAAAGCGAUAAGUGCGCCGCCUGGGGAGUACGGCCGCAAGGCUAAAACUCAAAGGAAUUGACGGGGGCUCACACAAGCGGUGGAGCAUGUGGAUCAAUUCGAAGCAACGCGAAGAACCUUACCUGGGUUUUGACAUGCACGGAUGGUCUCGGGGAAACCUGAGUAAUCUGCCUUCGGGUGAAACGUGCACAGGUGCUGCAUGGCUGUCGUCAGCUCGUGCUGUGAAGUGUCGGGUUAAGUCCCUUAACGAGCGAAACCCUUAUCGCUAGUUGCCAGCGGGUUCAUGCCGGGGAACUCUAGUGAGACUGCCGGCGUUAAGCCGGAGGAAGGUGGGGUA